UAUACCUAUGUCGCCACGAUGAUCGUAAAGUGGUUUUCCGUGAUGCGAAGGAUUUGCAAAAUUUAAAUGAUUUCUUCUGAAUGCAGGCUGUUGGAACAUGUAUUAUUAUUCAUUCUGUAGAUCAACGUAUAAUUGCCACAAAAAAUAAUAAUAUAACAGCACAACAUUGUCUGUAUCAGGCAAACCAGAAAGUCACAAAUCCUCUCCUGUUCGGAUGUGAUGCAACUGGUAGGCAUGGCUGCAAGAUCUGGCAGUACCAAGUACUGCUCAUUUAUGAACAACAGUAGAAAAGGUGCAGACAGAGCAGCUUGCAGAAUCCUCCAGUCUUUGAUGAAGUAAGCAAAAGCUGCUGUCAGGAUGUAGCCAGUGGUGAAGAAAAACUGGCAGACCACUCCGGCAUACAGUCGCUUACUAGGACCAACCAUUUCCAUAGCUAGAACAGAACCAAUAAUGAGCCGACAUGCCAUGAAAGUGUAGUACUCUGGCGCUAUUGCUGCUAGCAAACCAAAAACAACUUGCAGAACCAAGGACAGGAAGAAGAUAGGUCUACGACCAAAUCUGAAAAAUCAAGAGUUA